AUUGAACGCUGGCGGCGUGCUUAACACAUGCAAGUCGAACGAAGUGGCGAACGGGUGAGUAACGCGUAAUCAACCUGCCCUUCAGAGGGGGACAACAGUUGGAAACGACUGCUACUCCCGCAUACUGAAGGAGGUGAUUGCUUCUGAUUAGCUAGUUGGAGGGGUAACGGCCCACCAAGGCGAUGACCAGUGGCCGGUCGGUGAGGAUGAACGGCCACAUUGGAACUGAGAAACGGCCCAGACUCCUACGGGAGGCAGCAGUGGGGAAUCUUCCGCAAUGGACGAAAGUCUGACGGAGCAACGCCGCGUGAUUGAUGACGGCCGUCGGGUUGUAAAGCUCUGUGAAUCGGGACGCGGUACCGGAAUAGAAAGCCACGGCUACCUACGUGCCAGCAGCCGCGGUAAUAC
rnacentral:rRNA from 1 species